rnacentral:lncRNA from 1 species
AUGUUCAAAGAGCAUGAAUGGGUAUAGGUGGCUCCAGCCAUCUUGGACUUAAGGACUGUGAAAACAAGUUCCAUCUGUGACUGCCCUGCCUGUUAAGGGCAGCAAGCACUGCCAUCUCUUGACCAUAAUACAGGCCCUUAAAGCAGCUUAGCUCUCCCAGCACUCCCUGCAACCUACCUGGCAUUGACUCUGAGGAAGAGGAGGAGAAUUAACGAGAGGAGAGAGGAGGAGGAAGAGGAUGGGGAGGAGGUAGAAAGGAGGAAAAGAAACCUCCAAAGGCCCUCAUUUGUCAAAAUUUCAAAGGAAGUAGGAGAGAAAAGAAAAAGAGAAAUGUCAAAAAACAGACCUAAUCUCUCACUGACACUGAAGAAAGGAAGAAGGAAGGAACUGACACAGACAAGGUCCUCUUGGUGGGAUUUCUGCUGAAGGAGAAAAAGUAAAGAGGAAAUGCCAGAAAUAGUCCUCCUAUUUACACCCAGCCCAGCCCCUCGACCGUGUUGACCAAAGAGUUCAGAAAUUGAGGAUGAGGACAAGUACUGCUACAGCUGACCCACCCAAACUAAGCUGUGAGUCCAUGUCACCUAACUCUGCACACCCUCUGAACUGUAAACAGUGGCAGAACAGGUAGAAGAAUAAGCACAGACAGAGGAACAAAUGUAUGCCACUUCAGAUACCAGACCAGGUUCAUUCCAAGGCUUCCAUAGAAGAGACUGAAGUGCCUCUGGCUACAAAGUCAGACAGUAGAGACUAGAACUUGAGUCCUGUGAUCACACAUGACCCAAUGGCUGGAUGGGGCCUUUUUUCACUACCUUAAUAAACAGUUGUUCUCGGGGCCUAGCAGUGCUGCCCAACAUCUAUUCCAGGAAAUACCUAAAUCUUUUCGCCUAUGUUUAUCAUUGUGGUUUUCCAAGACAAGUGAAGAAUACAUCCAGUGGACUGUAUUGCCAAAGAUCUGUGCCAGAAACGUCCAUCCUUGGUGGUAACUUUGGCUGUGGAGAAUGCAACCUAGCUUCAAGUGUCAGGAACCCUGUUCACUGCUUUGAUUUGGCUUCUCUGGGCCCAGGGUCAUUGUAUGUGACAAGGCCCAUGUGACUCUGGAGGAUGAAUCUGUGGCUGUGACUGUGUUUUGUCUUUCACUAAUGGGAAGUAACAUUAGGGACUUCUGUGAGGAAGCAAAUCCAGCACUAAAGCCAGGGCACUUUACAAAGUGGCUGAAGUCAGCAGGCACUUUGAGGAUAGCAGACCUUUUCAAGAACUGUGACCAAACUCAGCUUUAAAGUCAUCUACAAGACCCAACCGACAGUCACUUCUUGUUUGACUGAAAGGAUUGAGCCUCCCAGAGUAGCACCCAGAGCUAUUUCAGGCCUUAUACCUUAGCCUUGUCUCUACUGGCACAUCUAA